UCCAGUGUCACAUGUGUACUGUAAAGGGCAAAGAAGAAAAAGGAGCAGCUACUGCUGUAUCUAGUUCAGUGUCCUCCUUGCUGAGUUCUGGCUCUCUUUCUAGAACCUGCUGUUUGUGGUCACCAUGUUAUAAGGAGUUCCAAAGGGCUGGAAUGUACUCAGUGCAGAUUGAGUAGAUGACUUCUGGUGCACAGAUGGAGAUGAACAGAUAGCUGGACGUGUCUCAGAUCUGCCACGGCUACCAGUCGAAUCCGGACCUCGAACUGCGCUUUGGUGGGACACAGAACAACACAGAAGGAACAUGGAUCUGGAUAUAGGAGAUGGUCUUCCAGGUGACAGGAAGGUUCACUUCAACAUGGAGAAUAUAUUUGGAAGGUCAGGUCAGUUGUAGACUGUAGAAACAGGCUAGGUGGGAAUAAUGUCUUAUUAUGACACUGAAGAACCAGCAUUUCUCCUAGAUUUUCAACUCAUCACUGUGGUCUCUGGCCUCUGUAAAUUCCAACUUUACAUUUGUUCCUGUCACACCGUAUCUUUAGGUUCAUGUAUGCAAAGUAUAACUGCAGAAUGAGUGCCCUGAAAGAUUGCUCAGUU